rnacentral:rRNA from 1 species
GACAGAGGGUGCAAACGUUGUUCGGAAUUACUGGGCGUAAAGCGCGUGUAGGCUGUCUCGAAAGUCGGGUGUGAAAGCCCCGGGCUCAACCUGGGAAGUGCACUCGAAACUUCGAGACUCGAGUCCUGGAGAGGAAGGCGGAAUUCCGGGUGUAGCGGUGAAAUGCGUAGAUAUCCGGAGGAACACCGGUGGCGAAGGCGGCUCACUGGCCCGGUACUGACGCUGAGGUGCGAAAGCGUGGGGAGCAAACAGG